rnacentral:rRNA from 1 species
UACGAAGGGGGCUAGCGUUGUUCGGAAUUACUGGGCGUAAAGCGCGCGCAGGCGGUCUUCCAAGUCAGUGGUGAAAGCCUGGAGCUCAACUCCAGAACUGCCAUUGAAACUGUUAGACUUGAGUACGAGAGAGGUGAGUGGAAUUCCCAGUGUAGAGGUGAAAUUCGUAGAUAUUGGGAAGGACACCAGUGGCGAAGGCGGCUCACUGGCUCGUAACUGACGCUCAGGCGCGACAGCGUGGGGAUCAAACAGG